UUAGAUAUUAGAGGCAGAUAAGUAAGCCUCUAAUAUAUAUUUCUUUAAUUUAAUAUAUACAUUUCUAAAUUCAACAUAUAUUUUCCAAAUUUAAUAAUUUCCAUUAGGAGCGGAUGUGAUUAUGUAUGCACUUAUAUUUAAUUAUUUUGUAUAUUUCCUUAACGUAAUAAAUAAAAGAAAUCAUCAAAACCCUAUUUCUCUGAUAACCGCACAUCAAUCUCCCCUAUUUUCUCCUCCUUUCACGGCACAAACUUCCCCAUCUCCCUUUUCCUUCAUAUUUCUUGUCCUGAUCUCUCUUUCUUUCCGAGAUAUUUUUUUCUCUUUUUUCCUUCUUCAUUGCUUCUUAAUAUUGCUACCUUUCAGUAUCGUUUGAUUAAAUUUUUUUUUCUCUCGAUCUGCUAUUUAGCAGGUAUAUUUGACGGGAUGUGAAGAAUUUGAAGUGAAAUCGGUUAUAAAUCUCUUGGUUGUGUUCUUUAUUUAUCUUUUCUGUUUUAUUUUUGUAUACAUUAGAUGAUGAAUUUCAUCAUGAAUCCAGAUUGGAUGAAUUAGGUUUGAUUUUUCUGUUUGUUUUGCAGGUUUUGUUUGCUAUUCGUAUUGCGAUGGGUGGAUGUUUAUCCUCGUUUCUUUUCAUAAAUAGAUUAAAGAUGGAUCAUGGAAGAUGCAUCAUUUUGAUGUAUUUGUAGAAAUUGAUCAUGGAAGACGCAUCAUUUUGUUGUUGGGAAUCAAAAGACCGGGUGUUGAUUAGAUAUAAGUUUUGCUAAAGUCCCUUAUGUACUACUUUCUGAUUUUUAUAUGUAUUUUCCAUCACAUGUCGAUCGAAGUUUUUUUUUUUUUUUUUUGGUAACUAUCGAUCGAAGCUUAAUCUUGUAUAUCUAAAGAGUUUUGAAUGAAAAUUGAAUUUUGAUUCUA